GACGAACGCUGGCGGCGUGCCUGACACAUGCAAGUCGGACGGUUCUUGCACCUUCAAGCUUGCUUGUUGGUUCAAGGAUAGUGGCGGACGGGUGAGUAACGCGUGAACACCUACCCAUUGGAGGGGUACAACCCGUCGAAAGGCGGGCUAAUACCGCGUAAGCCGUGAGGUGAAAGGCUGCUCUUUGGUGGCUGCCGAUGGAUGGGUUCGCGUCCUAUCAGCUGGUUGGUGGGGUAACGGCCUACCAAGGCUAAGACGGGUAGCCGGUCUGAGAGGAUGGCCGGCCACACUGGAACUGAGACACGGUCCAGACUCCUACGGGAGGCAGCAGUGGGGAAUCUUGGGCAAUGGGGGAGACCCUGACCCAGCGACGCCGCGUGAGGGAUGAAGGUUUUCGGAUCGUAAACCUCUGUUGUACGGGAAGAAUUGCGUGACGGUACCGUACGAGUAAGCCCCGGCAAACUACGUG
rnacentral:rRNA from 1 species